GGAAAUAGCGCCCCCUCUCUGUGUGGCUGGUUAAAUGUUGCUGGCUCGUGUACUCGGUGCCAGUCUGUGAAAACUGCACAAGAGGAAAUAAACUGCCUGAUCAGCCAGAAACUUCUCGUCUUCAUUAAAAAAUCUACACAACGCAGGGGUUACUUGGGCCGGCCUGGUACAGUGGAGCGAACCAGAACCUGGUUACACAGAUUUGAAGAACAUUUUCCUGAUGGAAAUACUAAAUAAAUGUUUCGACGAACACUCAGCAUGACCGACUUAUGUUAAAAUGACAGAUUUAAUGUAGCAAAGUUCUAGUAUGUGUGAUAGGUAAUUAAUUUACAUUAAUGUAAAUUUUAUUCUGAAACUGCAUUUCCCAUAUAAAUGUUAUUCUAUUUCCAUUCGUGUAAUGAAGGAGUUGCAUUUUACUUUUUUCAGCAUGUUUUCUCGUAGUUAACAUUUUUAACUGAAUAAACAAAACCA